GAAUUUUGGACAAUGGGCGAAAGCCUGAUCCAGCAAUGCCGCGUGCAGGAUGAAGGCUUUCGGGUUGUAAACUGCUUUUGUACGGAACGAAAAGCUUUGGGUUAAUACCUUGCAGUCAUGAAGGUACCGUAAGAAAAAGCACUGGCUAACUGCGUUCCAGCAGCCGGGGUACUACGUAGGGUGCAAGCGUUAAUCGGAAUUACUGGGCGUAAAGCGUGCGCAGGCGGUUUUGUAAGACAGAGGUGAAAUCCCCGGGCUCAACCUGGGAACUGCCUUUGUGACUGAAAGGCUAGAGUACGGCAGAGGGGGGUGGAAUUCCGCGUGUAGCAGUGAAAUGCGUAGAUAUGCGGAGGAACACCGAUGGCGAAGGCAACCCCCUGGGCCUGUACUGACGCUCAUGCACGAAAGCGUGGGGAGCAAACA
rnacentral:rRNA from 1 species